rnacentral:rRNA from 1 species
ACUAUUUGGUGCCUCGGUUUGGUCUGUCGUGACGACGACGCAAGUGGUUGCCAGGAGGCAUCUGCUUGCGUGCCAAAGGAUCGUCCUGAUCGAACAGUGUCCACCAUGGCGCUGCAAGUACUAGCUGGAGCCCCCCCGUUUGAUCUGGUUGCCAGACGCCUGGCAAUCAGCUUCAAACUAAAGCGUGACUACCCGCUGGAGGAGAGCGAUUGGCUGUACGGCGAAGAUUUGUGGGUGGCAACGCAGAUGGGAUGAUGGUGACUCCCCAGGUCGGGUGACGCACCGCUUCAUCCCGAACGCAGGCUUCGUCUACAGCGAACGAAGGUUUGGCUUCACGCUGCGCGCUGGAUUCCUGCUGCCGGGCCACGGAUCGCUCAAUGCAUUUCUCCAUGGAAAAAGCCUUAGCGACACGCCAGCAUGUCUAUGCGGCGCAGAACGCGAGGAUUGGCAGCACUUCCUAUGUGCUUGCUCCUCUAUACAGACUUGCGAGACCUCGAUGGACUUGGAGUGCAGUACACGGAUGGCGACUGGACCUUCUCCGAUAUGACGGCUUCUCAGGAGAGAAUGCGGACUCUCGACAGGUUCGCCGGACUGGCGUUCUCCAGGCGACAGCAGCUGCUGAAUGCGCAAGCGGCGCACGGGCUGGGUGGAUUCCCUAUCCAGGCCGGUCGGGGCUAAAAGGGAGGAGCGAGCUGAGUCCUUAAGAUCGGUACCACGGGUUGUGCAGUUCCAAGGCUGCACAUUGAGGUCGGUCCCCUAGUGGGAGUAUCGUGGUGGCUGUGAUUGAUACCCAAACGUUACGCUAGGAUCCUCGUGGAGUUGCGCUCUCAACCGGGUGCCGAGACCCAUAGAUCGGAAGACGUGUUAGAUACACCUCGCCACUCACCAAGGGGGAUUGUAUGCCCGACCAGGAUACUUUCAAUUGGUACCAGAAGAGUCGCUAUGUACAUAGCUAUAGCUUCUUUUUAGGGGCGCUAACUGGCGCAUUGUACCAGGUUCCUGCGUAUGUAGCGGUGGUGCGUGAUGGCGUGAUAUAUGUAUAUAUAUCGCACUAAUCGAGGCUAAGCUGCAAAUAAACAUUAGACGCCGUGGUUGAAAUCCCUCCCUGAGGAACCGCCACGUAAAAUAAAUCUGAGAGAUCAGAUUCAUUCUGUCCCUAUCUACUGGGGGCCACCAACCCUUGACUGUUAUGGAGUCAAAAUUGGAAGUGUCCUUCGUGGCACGAAGCCUGACCGGAGGCUUUAUUCUGGUACCACGGGAGCCGAGCCCGCGGAACUCGUUUCCGUCCUGGCUAUGGUUGCGGCCCCUUGGGGAGCUUCGUGGUGGUUUUGGCUAACACUCAAGCGAGUAGAGCUUGGGCUCGACGUGGAGGUUCAAUAUACAACCUGGUGCUGUGACCCACAGAUCAGCAGAGGUUUAGAUAGCCUCGCUCCACACCAGGGAGGAAGACAUGACCAAAACAGAUUAUCUUCAACUGGUACCGGAGGAACCGGGGCGCUGAUUGACGCUUAAAUUAAUCCUGUGCUUGGCACCGUGAGAUAAAGCCAAUACGGCAGGUGUUCACGUAAAACACAUUGACUUUAAUGUCCCUAUCUACUAUCUAGCGAGACCACAUCCAAGGGAACGGGCUUGGAAUAAUUAGCGGGGAAAGAAGACCCUUUUGAGCUUGACUCUAAUCUGGCAGUGUAAGGAGACAUAAGAGGUGUAGCAUAAGUGGGAGAUAUUAGAUUUCGGUUUGGUAUCGACAAUGAAAUACCACUACUCUUAUUGUUUCCUUACUUACUUGAUUAAAUGGAACGUGUAUCAUUUCCUAGCCAUUAUACGGAUAUAUUUAUUAUAUCUUAUGGUAUUGGGUUUUGAUGCAAGCUUCUUGAUCAAAGUAUCACGAGUUUGUUAUAUAAUCGCAAACAAAUUCUUUAAUGAGAAAAUGCAUUUAUGUAUUUUCAAUUUGAAAAUUUGGUAUAACUCCAAUUACUCAGGUAUGAUCCAAUUCAAGGACAUUGCCAGGUAGGUAGUUUGACUGGGGCGGUACAUCUCUCAAAUAAUAACGGAGGUGUCCCAAGGCCAGCUCAGUGCGGACAGAAACCACACAUAGAGCAAAAGGGCAAAUGCUGACUUGAUCUCGGUGUUCCGUACACACAGGGACAGCAAAAGCUCGGCCUAUCGAUCCUUUUGGUUUAAAGAGUUUUUAACAAGAGGUGUCAGAAAAGUUACCAUAGGGAUAACUGGCUUGUGGCGGCCAAGCGUUCAUAGCGACGUCGCUUUUUGAUCCUUCGAUGUCGGCUCUUCCUAUCAUUGUGAAGCAAAAUUCACCAAGCGUUGGAUUGUUCACCCAUGCAAGGGAACGUGAGCUGGGUUUAGACCGUCGUGAGACAGGUUAGUUUUACCCUACUAAUGACAAAACGUUGUUGCGACAGCAUUCCUGCGUAGUACGAGAGGAACCGCAGGUACGGACCAAUGGCACAAUACUUGUUCGAGCGAAAAGUGGUAUGACGCUACGUCCGUUGGAUUAUGCCUGAACGCCUCUAAGGUCGUAUCCGUGCUGGACUGCAAUGAUAAAUAAGGGGCAAUUUGCAUUGUAUGGCUUCUAAACCAUUAAAAGUUUAUAAUUUAUUUUAUAAACGACAAUGGAUGUGAUGCCAAUGUAAUUUGUAGCAUAGUAAAUUGGGAGGAUCGUCGAUCAACUGAUGCCGCGCUAGUUGCAUAUAAAAACAUUAUUU